GGUACUAAAAAUGUAUGAGACGUAACCGUCAGAAAUACAGUUUUGACAUUAUUUUGUCAUGAAAUUAGAAUACAAGUUACAGAAUACACUUAACAUAUAACAACUUUUCUUUCUAGAAACUUUAACAGAGUACGUAUGGAGGACAGAAUGUCUAUCUUCUUUGAGUGUACGUUAUAAAUAAACAUUUACAAACUCUCUUUCAAAAACUGCAUGUCAGAUUAAUCUUCGUAUUGUAUUUUAAAUAUUCAGUUGCAGAUGAUUGCAUUCAUAACAUAAACCUGUUUGCUGGCUUCCCCUUCUCUGCAUAAGCUUAUUUAUUUUACUUUCUUAAUUACCUAUGUUGUUCAUAAUUUGUUUUCUCAGUUAGUUUUUAUUUGCUGAAAAUUUCUUACAAACAUUUGUUCUCCAUGUGAUUUCGAACUGGAUUGGGCAUCGAACUGAGGGUGAUGAAAAGUUUCCGCUGCAUUCCAGGCGCCUUACUUAUGAUUUAUGUAAAGCUUUAUUGGAAAUGUAUCCCAACAGCACUGAGACUGAUGUAAAGAAUGCUAUACAAAAAGCAUUGAAGGCUGGGAAUUCCCGCAUUUAUCAACGCUGCAAAAAUAAGAAACAAUCUGAAGGACCAGCAGCCAA